AUUGAACGCUGGCGGCAUGCCUUACACAUGCAAGUCGAACGGCAGCGCGGACUUCGGUCUGGCGGCGAGUGGCGAACAGGUGAGUAAUACAUCGGAACGUACCCUGUUGUGGGGGAUAACUAGUCGAAAGAUUAGCUAAUACCGCAUACGACCUGAGGGUGAAAGUGGGGGACCGCAAGGCCUCACGCAGCAGGAGCGGCCGAUGCCUGAUUAGCUAGUUGGUGGGGUAAAGGCCCACCAAGGCGACGAUCAGUAGCUGGUCUGAGAGGACGAUCAGCCACACUGGGACUGGGACACGGCCCAGACUCCUACGGGAGGCAGCAGUGGGGAAUUUUGGACAAUGGGGGCAACCCUGAUCCAGCAAUGCCGCGUGUGUGAAGAAGGCCUUCGGGUUGUAAAGCACUUUUGUCCGGAAAGAAAUCGCGCUGGUUAAUACCUGGCGUGGAUGACGGUACCGGAAGAAUAAGCACCGGCUAACUACGUGCCAGCCGCCGCAGUAA
rnacentral:rRNA from 1 species